rnacentral:rRNA from 1 species
GAUGAACGCUGGCGGCGUGCCUAAUACAUGCAAGUCGAGCGAACGGACGAGAAGCUUGCUUCUCUGAUGUUAGCGGCGGACGGGUGAGUAACACGUAGAUAACCUACCUAUAAGACUGGGAUAACUUCGGGAAACCGGAGCUAAUACCGGAUAAUAUUUUGAACCGCAUGGUUCAAAAGUGAAAGACGGUCUUGCUGUCACUUAUAGAUGGAUCCGCGCUGCAUUAGCUAGUUGGUAAGGUAACGGCUUACCAAGGCAACGAUGCAUAGCCGACCUGAGAGGGUGAUCGGCCACACUGGGACUGAGACACGGUCCAGACUCCUACGGGAGGCAGCAGUAGGGAAUCUUCCGCAAUGGGCGAAAGCCUGACGGAGCAACGCCGCGUGAGUGAUGAAGGUCUUCGGAUCGUAAAACUCUGUUAUUAGGGAAGAACAUAUGUGUAAGUAACUGUGCACAUCUUGACGGUACCUAAUCAGAAAGCCACGGCUAACUACGUGCCAGCAGCCGCGGUAAUACGUAGGUGGCAAGCGUUAUCCGGAAUUAUUGGGCGUAAAGCGCGCGUAGGCGGUUUUUUAAGUCUGAUGUGAAAGCCCACGGCUCAACCGUGGAGGGUCAUUGGAAACUGGAAAACUUGAGUGCAGAAGAGGAAAGUGGAAUUCCAUGUGUAGCGGUGAAAUGCGCAGAGAUAUGGAGGAACACCAGUGGCGAAGGCGACUUUCUGGUCUGUAACUGACGCUGAUGUGCGAAAGCGUGGGGAUCAAACAGGAUUAGAUACCCUGGUAGUCCACGCCGUAAACGAUGAGUGCUAAGUGUUAGGGGGUUUCCGCCCCUUAGUGCUGCAGCUAACGCAUUAAGCACUCCGCCUGGGGAGUACGACCGCAAGGUUGAAACUCAAAGGAAUUGACGGGGACCCGCACAAGCGGUGGAGCAUGUGGUUUAAUUCGAAGCAACGCGAAGAACCUUACCAAAUCUUGACAUCCUUUGACAACUCUAGAGAUAGAGCCUUCCCCUUCGGGGGACAAAGUGACAGGUGGUGCAUGGUUGUCGUCAGCUCGUGUCGUGAGAUGUUGGGUUAAGUCCCGCAACGAGCGCAACCCUUAAGCUUAGUUGCCAUCAUUAAGUUGGGCACUCUAAGUUGACUGCCGGUGACAAACCGGAGGAAGGUGGGGAUGACGUCAAAUCAUCAUGCCCCUUAUGAUUUGGGCUACACACGUGCUACAAUGGACAAUACAAAGGGCAGCGAAACCGCGAGGUCAAGCAAAUCCCAUAAAGUUGUUCUCAGUUCGGAUUGUAGUCUGCAACUCGACUACAUGAAGCUGGAAUCGCUAGUAAUCGUAGAUCAGCAUGCUACGGUGAAUACGCUCCCGGGUCU